UAGGUUAAUGAGGCGAACCGGGGGAACUGAAACAUCUAAGUACCCCGAGGAAAAGAAAUCAACCGAGAUUCCCCCAGUAGCGGCGAGCGAACGGGGAGCAGCCCAGAGCCUGAAUCAGUAUGUGUGUUAGUGGAAGCGUCUGGAAAGGCGCGCGAUACAGGGUGACAGCCCCGUACACAAAAAUGCACAUGCUGUGAGCUCGAUGAGUAGGGCGGGACACGUGGUAUCCUGUCUGAAUAUGGGGGGACCAUCCUCCAAGGCUAAAUACUCCUGACUGACCGAUAGUGAACCAGUACCGUGAGGGAAAGGCGAAAAGAACCCCGGCGAGGGGAGUGAAAAAGAACCUGAAACCGUGUACGUACAAGCAGUGGGAGCACGCUUAGGCGUGUGACUGCGUACCUUUUGUAUAAUGGGUCAGCGACUUAUAUUCUGUAGCAAGGUUAACCGAAUAGGGGAGCCGAAGGGAAACCGAGUCUUAACUGGGCGUUAAGUUGCAGGGUAUAGACCCGAAACCCGGUGAUCUAGCCAUGGGCAGGUUGAAGGUUGGGUAACACUAACUGGAGGACCGAACCGACUAAUGUUGAAAAAUUAGCGGAUGACUUGUGGCUGGGGGUGAAAGGCCAAUCAAACCGGGAGAUAGCUGGUUCUCCCCGAAAGCUAUUUAGGUAGCGCCUCGUGAAUUCAUCUCCGGGGGUAGAGCACUGUUUCGGCAAGGGGGUCAUCCCGACUUACCAACCCGAUGCAAACUGCGAAUACCGGAGAAUGUUAUCACGGGAGACACACGGCGGGUGCUAACGUCCGUCGUGAAGAGGGAAACAACCCAGACCGCCAGCUAAGGUCCCAAAGUCAUGGUUAAGUGGGAAACGAUGUGGGAAGGCCCAGACAGCCAGGAUGUUGGCUUAGAAGCAGCCAUCAUUUAAAGAAAGCGUAAUAGCUCACUGGUCGAGUCGGCCUGCGCGGAAGAUGUAACGGGGCUAAACCAUGCACCGAAGCUGCGGCAGCGACGCUGAUGCGUUGUUGGGUAGGGGAGCGUUCUGUAAGCCUGCGAAGGUGUGCUGUGAGGCAUGCUGGAGGUAUCAGAAGU
rnacentral:rRNA from 1 species